GUCUAUGGCCAUGCUAUCCUGAACAAGCCUGGUCCUGUCUGAUCUUGGAAACUAAGCAGGAUUGGGCUUGGUUAGUACUUGGAUGGGAAGACCAGGUGCUGUAGGCA
rnacentral:rRNA from 1 species